rnacentral:rRNA from 1 species
GACGAACGCUGGCGGCGUGCUUAACACAUGCAAGUCGAACGGAAAGGCCCUGCUUUUGUGGGGUGCUCGAGUGGCGAACGGGUGAGUAACACGUGAGUAACCUGCCCUUGACUUUGGGAUAACUUCAGGAAACUGGGGCUAAUACCGGAUAGGAGCUCCUGCUGCAUGGUGGGGGUUGGAAAGUUUCGGCGGUUGGGGGUGGACUCGCGGCUUAUCAGCUUGUUGGGGUGGUGGUGGCUUACGCAGGCUUUGCCGGGUAGCCGGCCUGAGAGGGUGACCGGCCACAUUGGGACUGAGAUACGGCCCAGACUCCUCCGGGAGGCAGCAGUGGGGAAUAUUGCACAAUGGGCGGAAGCCUGAUGCAGCAACGCCGCGUGCGGGAUGACGGCCUUCGGGUUGUAAACCGCUUUCGCCUGUGACGAAGCGUGAGUGACGGUAAUGGGUAAAGAAGCACCGGCUAACUACGUG